rnacentral:rRNA from 1 species
GAUCAUGGCUCAGAUUGAACGCUGGCGGCAGGCUUAACACAUGCAAGUCGAACGGUAACAUAAAGAAGCUUGCUUCUUUGAUGACGAGUGGUGGACGGGUGAGUAAUGCUUGGGAAUCUAGCUUAUGGAGGGGGAUAACUACGGGAAACUGUAGCUAAUACCGCGUAAUAUCGAAAGAUUAAAGUGUGGGACCUUCGGGCCGCAUGCCAUAAGAUGAGCCCAAGUGGGAUUAGGUAGUUGGUGAGG